rnacentral:lncRNA from 1 species
UCUCCCUACCCCAUACCUUUUAGAUAUAUCUUGUAUUAACAUAACUCAGGCUCUCAAAAAGAAAAGAACACAUGUAUGCAUGAAGGAUACUUAUGUGCAUGGUGUUUUGCGGUUGUUCGAGACACGAAGGACAUGAUGCAUCCUGCAGUUUAGAAACAUAAACACUUCUUAAACUUUAUUCAUGAAAUGUCACAAUUAAAGUACUCGCAUAAGGUUUUUCAAAUGUGUCAUGUCUGAAAGACUAGUUUUGAGAUUUUUAUUUUGGCAAUCGCAGUCAUAUCAAAUGCUAACAUGCGCAUCCAUGUGUAUGUAACCUAGGGACACAAUUACAAUUGUUGAGGCAAAACACUAUGAGUGAAAUGAUCAUAUAACGAGAUAAAGUUCACAGUUCUAUCUGAUUUUGAGAGUAUCUCCCAAGUGUGAGAUUCUCAUUUUGCAUGGAAUUUUGUGAGUGUGAUU